GAUGAACGCUGGCGGCGUGCUUAACACAUGCAAGUCGAGCGAAGCGCUUUGGUUAGAUUCUUCGGAUGAAGACCUUUGUGACUGAGCGGCGGACGGGUGAGUAACGCGUGGGUAACCUGCCUCAUACAGGGGGAUAACAGUUAGAAAUGACUGCUAAUACCGCGUAAGCCCACAGUGCCGCAUGGCACAGCGGGAAAAGGAUUUAUUCGCUUCAGGAUGGACUCGCGUCCAAUUAGCUAGUUGGUGAGGUAACGGCCCACCAAGGCGACGAUUGGUAGCCGGACUGAGAGGUUGAACGGGCCACAUUGGGACUGAGACACGGCCCAGACUCCUACGGGAGGCAGCAGUGGGGGAUAUUGCACAAUGGGCGAAAGCCUGAUGCAGCGACGCCGCGUGAGCGAAGAAGUAUUUCGGGUAUGUAAAGCUCUAUCAGCAGGGAAGAAAAUGACGGUACCUGACUAAAGAAAGCCCCGGGCUAAACUACGU
rnacentral:rRNA from 1 species